rnacentral:rRNA from 1 species
UACGGAGGAUCCAAGCGUUAUCCGGAUUUAUUGGGUUUAAAGAGCUCGUAGGCGGUUUGUCGCGUCUGCCGUGAAAGUCCGGGGCUCAACUCCGGAUCUGCGGUGGGUACGGGCAGACUAGAGUGAUGUAGGGGAGACUGGAAUUCCUGGUGUAGCGGUGAAAUGCGCAGAUAUCAGGAGGAACACCGAUGGCGAAGGCAGGUCUCUGGGCAUUAACUGACGCUGAGGAGCGAAAGCAUGGGGAGCGAACAGG